rnacentral:rRNA from 1 species
GAUGAACGCUGGCGGCGUGCCUAAUACAUGCAAGUCGAGCGAACAGACGAGGAGCUUGCUCCUCUGACGUUAGCGGCGGACGGGUGAGUAACACGUGGAUAACCUACCUAUAAGACUGGGAUAACUUCGGGAAACCGGAGCUAAUACCGGAUAAUAUAUCGAACCGCAUGGUUCAAUAGUGAAAGAUGGCUUUGCUGUCACUUAUAGAUGGAUCCGCGCCGCAUUAGCUAGUUGGUAAGGUAACGGCUUACCAAGGCAACGAUGCGUAGCCGACCUGAGAGGGUGAUCGGCCACACUGGAACUGAGACACGGUCCAGACUCCUACGGGAGGCAGCAGUAGGGAAUCUUCCGCAAUGGGCGAAAGCCUGACGGAGCAACGCCGCGUGAGUGAUGAAGGUCUUCGGAUCGUAAAACUCUGUUAUUAGGGAAGAACAAAUGUGUAAGUAACUGUGCACGUCUUGACGGUACCUAAUCAGAAAGCCACGGCUAACUACGUG